GUUUCCGUAGCUCAGUGGUAGAGUAGUAGAUUGCAAAUCUAUUGGUCACGUGUUCGAUCCACGUCGGAAACU